UACUUGGUUGAUUCCUGCCAAGGAAGCACACUUAGGUCAUAGAUUAAGCCAUGCAAGUGUUAGUUCAGGUAACGAAACUGCGAAUAGCUCAUUAAUACGCUCAGAAUCUAUUUGCGGCGACCAACAGGUCUUAAAUGGAUAGCAGCAGCAACUCUGGUGCUAAUACAUGCGAUUGUUUCUCCAGAUGUGAAUUAUGGAGGAAAAGUUGACCUCAUCAGAGGCACGCCAUUCGACUGAGUGACCUAUCAGCUUGUACUUAGGGUCUUUACCUAGGUAGGCUAUCACGGGUAACGGGCGGUUACCGUCGGACUGCCGGAGAAGGCGCCUGAGAGAUAGCGACUAUAUCCACGGGUAGCAGCAGGCGCGAAACUUUCCCACUCGAGACUUUCGGAGGAGGUAAUGACCAGUUCCAUUGGUGCCUUUUGGUACUGUGGAUAGGGGUACGGUUUUCCACCGUACCGAAACCUAGCAGAGGGCCAGUCUGGUGCCAGCAGCUGCGGUAAUUCCAGCUCUGCGAGUUUGCUCCCAUAUUGUUGCAGUUAAAACGCCCGUAGUCUGAAUUGGCCAGCAAUGGUCGUACGUAUUUUUACGUUCACUGUGAACAAAUCAGGACGCUUAGAGUAUGGCCACAUGAAUGACUCAGCGCAGUAUGAAGUCUUUGUUUUCUUCCGAAAACAAGCUCAAUGAGAGCCAUCGGGGGUAGAUCUAUCUCAUGACGAGUGGUGGAAUACUUUGACUCAUGAGAGAGAAGCUGAGGCGAAGGCGUCUACCUAGAGGGUUUCUGUCGAUCAAGGGCGAGAGUAGGAGUAUCCAACAGGAUUAGAGACCCUGGUAGUUCCUACCUUAAACGAUGCCGACAGGAGUUUGUCAUUUGUUAAUGGCAGAAUCUUUGGAGAAAUCAUAGUUCUUGGGCUCUGGGGGAACUACGACCGCAAGGCUGAAACUUGAAGGAAUUGACGGAAGGGCACACCAGGGGUGGAGCCUGUGGCUUAAUU
rnacentral:ncRNA from 2 species